rnacentral:miRNA from 1 species
CCUCCGAAGUUUCCCUCAGGAUAGCUGGCGCUCUCGCAGGAAAAAACGGGGCAGUUUUAUCCGGUAAAGCGAAUGAUUAGAGGUCUUGGGGCCGAAACGAUCUCAAC